GACGAACGCUGGCGGCGUGCCUAAUACAUGCAAGUUGAGCGCUGAAGGUUGGUACUUGUACCAACUGGAUGAGCAGCGAACGGGUGAGUAACGCGUGGGGAAUCUGCCUUUGAGCGGGGGACAACAUUUGGAAACGAAUGCUAAUACCGCAUAAAAACUUUAAACACAAGUUUUAAGUUUGAAAGAUGCAAUUGCAUCACUCAAAGAUGAUCCCGCGUUGUAUUAGCUAGUUGGUGAGGUAAAGGCUCACCAAGGCGAUGAUACAUAGCCGACCUGAGAGGGUGAUCGGCCACAUCGGGACUGAGACACGGCCCAAACUCCUACGGGAGGCAGCAGUAGGGAAUCUUCGGCAAUGGACGAAAGUCUGACCGAGCAACGCCGCGUGAGUGAAGAAGGUUUUCGGAUCGUAAAACUCUGUUGGUAGAGAAGAACGUUGGUGAGAGUGGAAAGCUCAUCAAGUGACGGUAACUACCCAGAAAGGGACGGCUAACUACGUG
rnacentral:rRNA from 1 species